GAUGAACGCUAGCGACAGGCUUAACACAUGCAAGUCGAGGGGCAGCACGGGAGUAGCAAUACAACUGGUGGCGACCGGCGCACGGGUGAGUAACGCGUAUGCAGCCUACCUAUCAGAGGGGAAUAACCCGGCGAAAGUCGGACUAAUACCGCAUAAACCAGGGGCACCGCAUGGUGAUAUUUGUUAAAGAAAUUCGCUGAUAGAUGGGCAUGCGUUCCAUUAGGUAGUUGGUGAGGUAACGGCUCACCAAGCCGACGAUGGAUAGGGGAACUGAGAGGUUGGUCCCCCACACUGGUACUGAGACACGGACCAGACUCCUACGGGAGGCAGCAGUGAGGAAUAUUGGUCAAUGGGCGGGAGCCUGAACCAGCCAAGUCGCGUGAAGGAAGAAGGAUCUAUGGUUCGUAAACUUCUUUUGCAGGGGAAUAAAGUGCAGGACGUGUCCUGUUUUGUAUGUACCCUGAGAAUAAGGAUCGGCUAACUCCGUGCCAGCAGCAGCCGCCGUAA
rnacentral:rRNA from 1 species